GCUAUUCUGGGUAAUAUAACAAUCUACUUAGCUAGUUUAGUAAGAACAUGUUAUUAGCAUACUCAUAAUUCAAGAGAAAUGUCUUGCACUUUAUGCAAUUUGGGCUACUCCAGUUAAGGUAACAAUCUGCUUAUCUAGAUUAGUAAGAAAUCUUAUUGUCAUAUUGAUUGAUUAUUUUGAAUUCUCAGGCAUAUUGAAGUCUAUAACUUAUUAAUUUGUUAAAAGCCUUGCAUUGAUCUUCACUAAUAUUUGGAGCCGCUUUUUAUUGGGUUCAAUUAGGAGAAAAGCUCCAACAACUCGAGCGAGAGAAGGGAAUUGUCGUUUGGUUCAUGAUUGGCCACAAGUGGAUGUUGCAUGUGGGAGGGUUGGAGCUGCAUAUUUCAGAUUCAAGCAUCUGGAUGAUGGAAUAUACGAAGCUGUUGAAAUUUCAGGGUGAAGUCAAGCACAUUUCUCUAAUGAAGCCAAAGAUUUGUAUUUUCAGCAUUAUUGUAAUUGUAACUAUAAUUGAUUG